UCAGUUUAGCACUGGAUACAACAGAGGGAGCUUCAAAGCGCCUGUCCACCCAGAGAGGAGGAAGAGGGAACCUCGGUCCGGCUGUGAUGCGUAGCAAGGGCUCUGCGGGCUGAACAACACUUCGAUGGGAUAAACCCUCCCGGUCACAUUUAACGGCUCAUUGUUGUCUGUUUGUAGCGUGCGCGCGUGUAUGUGUAUGUGUGUGCGUGUGUGUGUUCCGCGAGGACCGAGAAAUGCUCUUGUAAGCGCGAGCGUGAAUGACAUUAACGCCUGCGGUUUUGCUUCACACAAAUAUUUGGAGGUGCUCUAACUUGGAGCCGUUUGAACGUUGAGUAAGUUUUGUUUUUGUUUUUUUUUUUUUUGGCUUUUUUAUUUUUAUUUUUUAUUUUUUAUACUUGCAUUACAUUUGAGUCGUUUUUACUUUGAGCACAAAGUCCAGGACAACAUGGGGAGCGAACAGUACUUGCCGGAGCUUAUGGCAGAGAAGGACACGCUGGAUCCGUCUUUUCAGCACUCCCUGCGGCUACUGGAUCAAGAGAUCGAAAAAAUCCAGAAAGAUGAGGGGAAGGAGGAGGAGAAGUUCAUCGACGUCGUCAUCAACAAGAACAUGAAACUGGGCCAGAAAGUUUUAAUACCAGUCAAGCAGUUUCCUAAAUUUAACUUUGUUGGCAAACUCCUCGGGCCACGCGGGAACUCGUUAAAGAGACUACAGGAGGACACUCUCACAAAGAUGUCAAUUCUCGGAAAAGGAUCCAUGAGAGACAAAGAAAAGGAAGAAGAGCUACGACAGAGCGGCGAGGCCAAAUAUCACCACCUGAACGAAGACCUGCACGUCCUCAUCGAGGUGUUCGCCCCGCCCGCUGAGGCCUACGCCAGGAUGGGUCACGCUCUGGAGGAGAUCAAGAAGUUUCUCAUACCAGAUUACAAUGAUGAGAUCAGACAGGCCCAGCUGCAGGAGCUCACAUACCUGAACGGCGGCUCCGAGGAUGCCAAGGUGCCAUCGGUGAGGGGCAAGUCAGCCGCCCGUGGAAGAGGGACACCUGUUCCAGGGCCUCCCAGGAGUCGAGGAGGAGUUCCUCCCCUGCAUGCAGCGGUGCCCCGAGGAGCGGCACCCAGAGGAGCCCCACCCAGCCGGGCUCCAUCCUCCAGAGGGAGGGGGGUGCAGAGAGCCAGAGGCGCCCCGCUAGCUGCCGGAUACCGACCGGCUCCUCCCAUAGUUCAGGACACGUACGGAGAAUAUGAAUAUGACGAUGGCUACGGAACGGCUUAUGAUGACCAGGGAUAUGAAUCGUACGACAACAACUACAGUAAUCAAGGACAAAACUCAGAUGACUACUAUGAAUACGGACACAGUGGGGAAUCGUAUGAUUCAUAUGGUCAGGAAGAGUGGGCAAACAAUCGCGGCAAGGCACCGUCGGCACGAGCAGCCAAGGGAGUGUACAGAGAGCAGCCAUACUCCAGAUAUUGAACUGUUUAUACAACCUGCACCUGAGUCCUCAUGGCUGUUUCAACCCAAGCCGAUGUCCCAGCUACACCAGGUCAUCUGUCCAGUUACCUCACUGGUGCUAAAGACUUGACGAACCAUACACGAGCUUCCCUCCAAACGUUGAAGUCUGCACAAUGUCAAACAGAAUCCUGUAAAGGCCAUCAUCCAGUUUCACAAGGGAUACCCCCCCCCCCCCCCCUCCCCUCCCCCCUCUCCGGUCAAACAGUGGACUUUCAAAUUUUCACAGUCUAGACUGCGGUGAAUCCUGCGGGGGACGACAUGUGGAUGGACCUGUUGAGAUGGAUGGGGGGGUUGGGGUGGGUGGGAUGGGGGGGCUAUAAUACAUAUAUCACACAUCGUCAUUUCCAGGAGAAAGGGAGUGAGAGAGGAAACCCGUGAGGUAAAUGGAGUUCCUCAUCCUCUGGGACGAUCUGUCGGAGAAUAUUUAUCUCAGAGCUUCACUGGCUCUGUGUACAUUUUACAUAAACACAGGAGUGCUCUGAACUGACUGUGAACCUGCCUCAUGUCUUUUCUUGAUUCACUUGUUAGAGGGAAUGUGUCUACCUCUUACAUUAGGCAUUAACCGUCGCCUACGAGGGAGGGUGAGUAAAUAAAUAAUGCAGUAAGAGAAUGACAUCGUAUUUCUAGCAGAGACACUUCUAAAGUCAUAUUGUUGUGCUCAUUAACCUAUAUCCUAUUGACUCCAAUGAAUACAUAAUUCACCGAGUGCCUUAUUCUUGCAUUGUUAUGACAGUUUUGGAUGUUUAGUUGCCAUUGCUGGAUGUUUUUUCUUUCUUCCUUCAUUUAUGCUGCUUUUUUGGUUUCCUGUGUGAAUUACCAUGGUGCUGGAAAGCACCACUCUGCCACAGACCAGAGUAAGUCUGUUCCAGAUGUAUUGUUUAAUCAGAAUCGACUUCAGUGGAUAUUACAAUUCCAAAAUAGCUUUCUAUCGGAUGGAGAGCUUCAUUCUGUCUUGUGCAUAAGUCCAGAUAGGCUGAUCCGUAUUCCGCACAGUUGUAUGCCCUUAGUGGCAGACAAUAGUUUUCCAUUAGAGGGAGUGAUUCUCUCUGGAGCCUCGGGCCAAGCCUCAGACAAUAACAUGGCAACCUAAAGCUUGCAUCUCGGGCUCUGGGAGUCAACUCUCAUCACCCCCAGGGGCUGAUUCCUCCUCUGAAGUGGCUUAAAACGACAGGCUUAUCUGAAGUGAGCUUGUCCGAGUUAAUAAAGGAAUAGCAGCUUAUUUGAUUAAGAAUGCAUACAGAGGAGGAUGUAGUGAUCUUUCACUGGGAGACAAGUUCAUUCCAACACUAGAAUACAGAUCAAUGGGUACAGGGACCACUGGAGGUGAUUUUAAAAGGAUUCAGAGGAAAUUAGAAAUAGCUUAAAGGCCCAGAAAUCCUGUUCUCUCACUUUCUUAAUACGAGCAUUGAGUCCCCACAUGUUGUUCUGCCACAGUUUGAACAGUUUUGUCCAUUCUUUUCUUGCUGCUUUAAAGUGGGCGGGGCUUAGCCGUCACGUAUUUCCACGCACAUAUCAGUGUGGCAACAUUUAAAUGAAGAUAUAAUGAGUUUUGGGAUUCUUUGCUUGUGUUACCUUCAUUGUCAAUCCAAUAUGAACAAAUCCCACCCACACACUCCUGAAUAUAUAGCAUCUGGUUAGCUUAGCUUAGCAUCAAAACUGGGAGCAGGGUGAAAGAGCUAGCCUGGCUCUUCCCAAAGCUAAUUAAAUCCACCAAUCUUCUUUUAAUUUUACAUGCUCUUAUACCUGAUCUUUUUUUCUUUUCGCAAAUUUUUUUUUUUGAAGCAACAGCUUUUUGAUAUGUGAAGUGUGCUUAUCCACUUGUGUUCCUCUUAAUCAUGUUCAGGAUCUAAAGCGGCCUCCUCCUGCCUUUUGUUCUGUAAUUAACUGGAGGGCUCUUAAUCUUGCUGAGAUUAAAACGCCCUGAUCAAUGUUGAAGUGUCCCUCUGUCUCCUUUAGUAGUGAGCACUAAUGUGACCAGGGGUCAGUGUGCGUCGCUUGCUAAGUGGAGCCUCAGAUUGUGAAGGAUCGAUUAUUACAGGGCCUUGAGUGAACAGGGGUGAAUAAUAGCAAUAAUAAGGGAGAGAGAAUGUUCCACUAAUGCGAUGCCCGGCAAUGGAGACGACGAUGACGACAACGACGACGAUGACGACGACAUAAUCAUUAUUCCUUAUUUAUCUUGGAAGUAUAAUCACUUAUAUAAUUAGCAUUUUAGCCAAAUCUGCGAACAAGAGAUGAAGAAAACGAGCGAGAGAAAUAAAAGCAAGGGUAUCAGAUUAGACGCCAGGGGAGAAAAGCAAAUAUUAAAAAAAUAUCAGAGGCUUUCAAAGAAACAAAAACAACAAGAAAAAUCAGCCACAGGUAGACAAAAGGCUGGGGGGGCUGGGGGGGGGGCGACACCAAAGGGGAACACAAGGUGAGAACAGGUGCACACAAAGUCUUUGUAGAGGAAAGAUAGCAGUUUAGAACAACACUGAAAAACAAAACUUUUUAAAUACAUGUGUAUGCAAAGUCAGUAUACAUACCUGUCCACCAUAUGCUGUGUACCAAUUGUGCAUAUUGUACCUCAUGUUUCUGUAUAAUUUCCAUGUGCUGUCAUUCGUUAAACUCAACUCAGUCUGUAAGUAAAUACAUGUUUAGGUUGUAGAUGCAGAUGCAGUAAUAAAGUUUUCCUCUUGCUGAUAAAAAAAAAAAAAAGAGUGAGCAAUAAU